GAUGAACGCUAGCGGCAGGCUUAAUACAUGCAAGUCGAGGGGCAGCAUGAUUGUAGCAAUACAAUUGAUGGCGACCGGCAAACGGGUGCGGAACACGUACACAACCUUCCAAUAAGUGGGGAAUAGCCCAGAGAAAUUUGGAUUAAUACCCCGUAACAUAACGAUGUGGCAUCACAUUGUUAUGAGAGAUUUUUCGCUUAUUGAUGGGUGUGCGGCUGAUUAGAUAGUUGGCGGGGUAACGGCCCACCAAGUCUACGAUCAGUAGCUGAUGUGAGAGCAUGAUCAGCCACACGGGCACUGAGACACGGGCCCGACUCCUACGGGAGGCAGCAGUAAGGAAUAUUGGACAAUGGACGCAAGUCUGAUCCAGCCAUGCCGCGUGAAGGAUUAAGGUCCUCUGGAUUGUAAACUUCUUUUAUAAGGGACGAAAAAAGGCUUUUCUAAGUCGUCUGACGGUACCUUAUGAAUAAGCACCGGCUAAUUCCGUGCCAGCCGCCGCGGUAAAAC
rnacentral:rRNA from 1 species